UGAGUACGAGAUGCUACGGCAUCGAAGCAGUCUAUGUCAUACUUCCAAGAAAAGCUUGCAAUGUCAUAAACAAAUAAUGCCUGUACCAUAACCGACACAGGUGGGUAGGUAGAGUAUACUAAGGGGCGCGAGAUAACUCUCUCUAAGGAACUCGGCAAAAUGACUCCGUAACUUCGGGAGAAGGAGUGCCUUAUUAUAUAAGGUUGCAAUAACAAGAUCCAAGCAACUGUUUACCAAAAACACAGGUCUCCGCUAAGUCGUAAGACGAUGUAUGGGGGCUGACGCCUGCCCAGUGCCAGAAGGUUAAAGAAGUUGGUUAGCAUUAGCGAAGCUGAUAACUGAAGCCCUGGUGAACGGCGGCCGUAACGAUAACGGUCCUAAGGUAGCGAAAUUCCUUGUCGGGUAAGUUCCGACCCGCACGAAAGGCGUAAUGAUUUGGAUACUGUCUCAGAGAGGGGCUCGGUGAAAUAGACUUGUCUGUGAAGAUGCGGACUACCUGCACCUGGACAGAAAGACCCUAUGAAGCUUUACUAUAACUUGAGAUUGAAAUUGGACUUUAUUUGCGCAGUAUAGGUGGGAGACGUUGAAAAUAUUCUUGCGGGAAUAUUGGAGUCAUCAGUGAGAUACCACUCUUAUAAUGUUAGAUUUCUAACUUUGUAUCAUUAUCUGGUCAAAGAACAGUUUCAGGCGGGCAGUUUGACUGGGGCGGUCGCCUCCCAAAGGGUAACGGAGGCGCACAAAGGUUUCCUCUGAACGUGUAGAAAUCGUAUCUAGAGUGUAAAGGCAUAAGGAAGCUUGACUGUGAGACCUACAAGUCGAGCAGGGACGAAAGUCGGUCUUAGUGAUCCGACGGUGCUGAGUGGAAAGGCCGUCACUCAACGGAUAAAAGUUACUCUAGGAUAACAGGCUGAUCUCCCCCAAGAGUUCACAUCGACGGGGAGGUUUGGCACCUCGAUGUCGGCUCAUCGCAUCCUGGGGCGGUAGUACGUCCCAAGGGUUGGGCUGUUCGCCCAUGAAAGCGGUACGCGAGCUGGGUUCAGAACGUCGUGAGACAGUUCGGUCCAUAUCCGGUGUAGGCGUUAGAAUACUGAGAGGAGCCUUCUUUAGUACGAGAGGACCGGGAAGGACAUACCUCUGGUGUACCAGUUAUCGUGCCAACGGUAAACGCUGGGUAGCUAUGUAUGGAGAGGAUAACCGCUGAAAGCAUCUAAGUGGGAAGCCCACCUCAAGAUAAGUAUUCC
rnacentral:rRNA from 1 species